rnacentral:tRNA from 1 species
GGGCCAUAGGUCAGUGGUAGGGCAUAUGCUUUGCAUGCCAAAGGUUCCAGGUUUAAUCCCUGGCAUCUCCG